rnacentral:rRNA from 1 species
UGAGGAAUAUUGGUCAAUGGACGGAAGUCUGAACCAGCCAAGGAGCGUGCAGGAUGACGGCCCUAUGGGUUGUAAACUGCUUUUGUAUGGGGAUAAAGUUAGGGACGUGUCCCUAUUUGCAGGUACCAUACGAAUAAGGACCGGCUAAUUCCGUGCCAGCAGCCGCGGUAAUACGGAAGGUCCAGGCGUUAUCCGGAUUUAUUGGGUUUAAAGGGAGCGUAGGCUGGAGAUUAAGUGUGUUGUGAAAUGUAGACGCUCAACGUCUGAAUUGCAGCGCAUACUGGUUUCCUUGAGUACGCACAACGUUGGCGGAAUUCGUCGUGUAGCGGUGAAAUGCUUAGAUAUGACGAAGAACUCCGAUUGCGAAGGCAGCUGACGGGAGCGCAACUGACGCUUAAGCUCGAAGGUGCGGGUAUCAAACAGG